GUGGCAAAUAGUUACCAUUUUUGGGAGCAGUCAUUUUUGAGAGCAAAGAAGUUAAAAAAAUGAGCCAGCCUAAGCGAAGGAGAAGGAACUAUCGGACCAGCGUGCCAAACGCAAAUAUUGCUGAUACAAGGCGGGGCCCAGGUGGAAACAGAGGCAAGUUAUGGCAGUGUCCGAUCUGUCCGAGUGUGUUUGGGUCUCGAAUCGCACUUUGGAGUCACAUGCGGUGGAAACAUGGAGUCGGAAUGUAAAUACAGAAGGAGGUUUUCUGCUUCGGGGUGAAUCUGGCUGGCCUACUAUAUCAUCCACUCUCCGGCCAACUCAUCCACGAGAGAAUGAUUUCAAUUCAAAACCUGAUUCUUCUCAGUGUGAUAUUAAAAAACAAAAAUCCUUCGAUUGUUUGCUUGUCUUAAAAAUUAGGGCGGCCUGACCUUGCGAUCUAACAAGGUCUUCUUCUUCUUCAGAUAUUUUUUUACUUGGGUAGUUGUUGAGUAAAUUCUGCAUAAUGUCUGAUCAGCACGAUGUCGCAGAUAUGAUUAGAACCUUUUGAGCAGCUUUCAGUUUUACUUUAGAAUGAUAAUCUUACAAUAUCAUUUUUAAAGUUAUGAUCAGUUGUUUUUUUAUGAAUCUGAGAUAGAUUCCGCAGAGAAGUAGUGUUAGAUUAAACAGAAAAAUGCAUUCAAAACGGGGUAAGCAGCCUUGCACGCUCAUUAAAAAAACUACGGUAGUAAAAGCGGACCGACUUCCGCCAUAAAUGACACCGUGGAAAGUUCGUUGUCUACGGCCUACAU